ACACAGAAAUGUAAAUAUGCUAAUUAGGUAGGCAGGCCUAAGUCAGUCGAUGUGAUCGGAUCGGAUCUACUAGUGCUGCCUUGAUUUGGCUGGCUCUCACGUUAGCCUUUAGCUUGCUAUCAGCAAUGGAUAGUUUUGUGCGGGCUAUUGCUGCUGAUUUAAGAGUAUUAGCGGACAGUUUUGAUCACAACGAACCUACUGACUAUCUUAAGUUUCGUUUCGAGAUUACUCGAAGAUUUAGCACAACUCUCAGCUGAUAGGGACAUAGAAGUUGACGUGGUGCUAGAUGGUCUCCAAGAAGCUGCCCACGAACUUCAAAUCCGCUCAGUGACAGAGGAAGAGGGAGCGACGUUUGGACGUCCACAAUACAUUUUACCUCCUGAUAUAAUUGAAGCUCACCUGCUUUUGGGACACACCGUUGGAGACAUUUCACAGUUGUUCGGUGUGUGUCAAAGAACAAUUCAUCGGAGGACGGCACAGUAUGGGAUAAGUAGUGUGGUCACACAUGGUUGUUGUCACUCUGGACCAAACACCGCACCACUGGAGGGAGUCAUGUUUCCAUGACUGCCGGUAGAAAUCAGAAAGCGCUGAAAACUUCUUCAGACGUUCUUGGAAAACUUGUGCAGUUCUGGGUGGCCUGGAAUGUGCUUCCCAGAGAGUUGGAUAUUGAAGUGGUGGAGAGCAACUUCUUCAAGUCAUCUACCUGCUUCCACCUGCUUAAAAUCCCAGGGCAUUUUAUUACAUACAGCUUCUUUGAAAGAGACCUCCUUGCCACAAUUUGUAGUGUCGACAGCGGCUUUGGAUUGGUCUGAGUAGACUGUUACUCAACAUGUGUCUAUUUCUCUUUGUUAUAACACUGUCAAGAAGGCUGCACACGUUCAGAAUUUUUGGGCCGAUCAGAUCGGCGGAAAGCCUACUGUCAAGUUUAAAUGGGGUAUUGUUCAAAAAUCUCCAGGACCUCUAAAAUUUCCUUUAGGACCAACAAUCAGGAAAUGA